GGAGGAACACAGGCAGUCAUUCAAGGAACGAGGCCCCGGAGACUGUUCCUUGCCCACUGAUACCCAAUCAGUUUCGUAGCUGACCAGUCCCACAUCCAAAUCCUGCAGACAAGUGAUGAACUUGGGAAAGUUCCUCCCCAUGGCUUAGAAUGCUGGCCAGCCAGAGUUCCAAAAAGUGAGAAGAGUUGAUGGCAUGGCCACAUCAGCAGCUGGGAGGAUGUCUAAGCCGAUUCAAAGAGCAACACAAGCAACAUAAUGUAACCCACAUCUUACUGCACCACAAGGAUGAUGUGAACAGGUUGGUUGCUCAAACUCCAAAAAUUCAUACUUCCCUUCAACUUCUAGGAUUUUUAAAGGUUUAGAAAAUUCAGACCUGGCAUAUGCUACAUUCACCCUAAAGAAAAACAGUCACUUCAGAAUUAAAAUGCCAUUGUUUUUAUUGGAGAACCAGGCCUCUGGAAAGGCAAAUAGCCAGCAAAGUUCUACUAUUUUGUGUUUCAAGUUUCCAGCUCCUUUCCUUUUCCCAGUGCUAAUGUGAACCAAUGACAUCUGCUGACCAUCUAGAAAACUGCAUCAUAAUACUCCAGACUAGGGGUUCUCAAGUUGGGUCCCCAGAUGUUGUUGGACGUCAGCUCCCAUAAUCCCCAGCCCCAGUGGCCUUUGGUUGGGGUUUAUGGGAGUUGACGUCCAAGAACAUCUGGGGGCCCAACAUUGAGAAUCCCUGCUCCAGACCACAGUUGAAAAUGCAGCUGCCCACAAUGGGGAAAAACAAAAACAAGCAUGACACACAAAAGCAACACUUGUCACCAACAGCCAAAAUGAAUCCUGAGAAGGAAGAAGUGUUGGGAAAGAUGGAAUGGAAGGAAAGAAAGAAGAACGAAGAUGCAGAGGGCCAGAAAAAACUAGUGUGGAGAAGGAGGAGGAGGGGACUUCUCAAGGUACAAAGAAAGAGAUAGAGGAGGGAAGAUGGGAUGGAAGGGAACAAACAUAAAGAGAGAGGGGAAAGGCUAGCACAUAGAACCAAAUGUUCUCUGUCAUUCCACCCAUCAUUUUUGAUGCCAAUUUGGUAUAAAUGAUGCCAAUUUGGCAUCAAUGAUGCCAAUUUGGCAUAAAUACCAUGACUAAAAGCCUAAGAAAUAUAUGUCUUUGCACAUAGUGCCUUUAACGCAGAGGUCAAGAAGAAGGAAUGCCAUCCUUCUGAUGUGAUGUGAAAGGAAAGCUUAAAUUCCACAUUAAACUAUAAGAUGCUUUUAAAAACAAAACUGUACUUUUUCCUUGUCUAGGCUUCCUUUUUAAAAAAAAUGAGAAAUUUGCCCGUGAUGAGAUCAAAUUUUAAAUUAGAUUUGAUUAAAAUUAACUCAUUCAUGUAAUAGCAAACAACCAAUCAGAACAUAAAACUAUUGGGCAGAAUAGCAUAUGACCAAUGUCAGUUAAUAGAUUAUACUUAUUGAACUGGUGCAUUAAUUAUUAAAUAUUUUUCAAAAUCAAAAGUUCUACCGUGACUCUUCAACAUUUACAAAUAGUAUGCAAUGUUAACAUCGUAAUUUAAAAGAAGAAUGUUAAAAAUGGAAGAAUCGCUUGGUAUUUGUUGCUUGCAGGAGUACUGAAGUGGUGAUCACAAGCAUUUCCAAGUGGCUAUGCUGCAGCAUGACUGCAUAAAUCAUUUUGUCAGUGCUAAACCUUAGAUAGCUGCAGAACAUAGAAUUAGGUCUUGCAGGUCCAGCUGAGACUGCUUUUAGCCACAGGAAAUACCUCUUUUCACAUUCCAACCAUCCAUUCAGUUAAUGUAUGGAGGGGGAGAGGGAUCAAUAUUCUGGCCAACAAAGCUGGUCACACUAACCAUGACGCCCACCCUCAAGAGAAUCUCUAAUUCUGGAUGAAGCCACCACAACCUCUCAUGGUGGGCUGACUAAUCUGACUGGAAAAUGUCAUUUUCUACUUGUGUGGACAAGAGACAUCUCACGAACUAGGAUUUGUCAUGGGCAAAACCGAACAAAAUGCAGAUGGCAUGAGCAAGAAGACGAUAAUAAGGCUAUGCACACGAUCAUGUGGGUGGGUGGGGGAGAAGGCUGUGUGGUACUCCCCUCCCCUCCCCCCCCGCCUAUGAUCCUUGGUGGUGGGAGUGCUGAUCGUACUCCCACACAAUUCACAUUGCUUGGAGCAGCACAGAUCUCCAGAAACUGGGACAAUUCAUCCUUGCCUCUGGAUAUCCCACAAUGCAGCGUGCGAUGAACACAGUGUAUUGCGGGAAUCUCCCAGGAGUCCAGUACUCUAGGCACCCAACUCUGCGCAUGCUCAGGCUACAGGCCUGACUGUAUGGGAUUGGGGUUAUGAUAUUAUGUAAGAUGUAUUUAUAUAAUUGUGUUAUAUGUUAUUGUUGUA